rnacentral:rRNA from 1 species
AUUGAACGCUGGCGGCAGGCCUAACACAUGCAAGUCGAGCGGAUGAAGGGAGCUUGCUCCUGGAUUCAGCGGCGGACGGGUGAGUAAUGCCUAGGAAUCUGCCUGGUAGUGGGGGAUAACGUCCGGAAACGGGCGCUAGUACCGCAUACGUCCUGAGGGAGAAAGUGGGGGAUCUUCGGACCUCACGCUAUCAGAUGAGCCUAGGUCGGAUUAGCUAGUUGGUGGGGUAAAGGCCUACCAAGGCGACGAUCCGUAACUGGUCUGAGAGGAUGAUCAGUCACACUGGAACUGAGACACGGUCCAGACUCCUACGGGAGGCAGCAGUGGGGAGUAUUGGACAAUGGGCGAAAGCCUGAUCCAGCCAUGCCGCGUGUGUGAAGAAGGUCUUCGGAUUGUAAAGCACUUUAAGUUGGGAGGAAGGGCAGUAAGUUAAUACCUUGCUGUUUUGACGUUACCAACAGAAUAAGCACCGGCUAACUUCGUG